rnacentral:rRNA from 1 species
AUGCUACCCAGAGGACUUUGUGAACACUUAAAUUCGAUUAUAAGAAAGUGUUGGUGGGGAUAUAAAGAAGGUCAGAGAAAACUAGCAUGGGUCUCGUGGGAAGUCAUGCCAAGGCCAAAUAUUUGGGGUUUAGUAUUCAGAGACUUGGAACUGUUUAACCUAGCCCUAUUGGCAAGACAUUCUUGGCGGCUUAUUCAAGAUCCAUCCUCCCUGAAUACAAGAAUUUUAAAAUUAGUUUACUUCCCUGAUGGAAUUAUUUUAACAAUAGAGCUAGGCACAGGACACUCACAGGUAUGGCAUGCGAUUCUGGAAGCGAGGGAUAUUCUCAAGUAGGGCAUUACUCGGAGGAUAGGGAACAAACAUGAUAUUAAUGUAUGGUCAGAAAAUUGGAUCCCAAAAGAGUCCUCUUUGCAGCCAAUCCUUUCUAUAGUUCAGAAUCUGCUGGAGAAGGUGUCGGAGUUGAUUGUGCCAGCCACACCUGCUUGGGAUGAACAUUUAGUUCGUAGCAUCUUCAUGUCGAUCGACGCUGAUGAGAUCCUCAAGAUCCCAAUAUGCACAUAA